AAUGCGGGGAACGGCGUCGUUGAAUGGGGCGAGUGGAAAAAACUGUGAUCCCAAAAUUAAAACCCAUUACUUCGGUCGGUUUUGCACUUCCCGAUGGAGAAGCCAAUCCCAUGGCGUCGAGCGGAUGUGGAUUGGAAUUCCUCUUCGAUUGCUUGACAUGUAUUCUUUUCGCAACCUGAUUUUGAUUCCUUCUUGGAUGCGGUCUUCUGUUAGGUUUCCACCGCCGGCGAUUGGAGGCAGAGAGCAAGCCGCAGCCUUUUGGGGUUAGGGAGAUCACGUCGCCGGUCCAGCCGCUCGCAGAUCCGUUGUACGCAGCGUCCGAGUCCAACCGCUCGUAGAUCCGUUUGGGGUUAGGGAGGGUUCAUGUCUGUCUUUGAAGGUUUCUUAAUGUUGAGGUCCCGAUUGUCGUUCAUGCAUAAACAGGCGUAUACAUAGAGUCCUGGUAUUUGGUGUCAUGACCACAUGUUGCGCAUCUCUACUUGGCGAUUUGGUGAUUUUCAUGGGUUUGCUGUGCGUCUCUGUUAUCUCCUCAAGUUUAUCAAGUUGGUAUGGUUAGAGGGUUAGCAGGUGUCCCGUCCAUGAAGACGAUGAACAACCACAUUGUCAGGCCAAUACCGCGAGUACAGGAUGGGGGCACUCGGGCUUGUGCGGCAGUUCAUGUCGGGCUAACCGGUCGGCAGUCCAACACCAAUCUAGGAGUGCGAGCCAAAGGAAGAUUUUGCUAUGAAUUGGUUGGACUUAAGAGGAGUAGUUCAUGUUUGGUUCAACAAAAGCAGACUAGAUGUUGAGGGGAAAAAUGCAUGCAGGAAAUCAUAUGCGGAUGCUCGGGUAAGGCGAAGAAUACAAACACCAGAUCAUGCAGGUGUGAAUGUCCCGCCAGGAUACAGCUGCAGCAUUCAGACCAGUAUGGCCAGUACACUAGUGAACACAUGCCGGGCCAUAAUCACACUCUUACCGACAAGUGUUGCGAGAAGAUGCACAUUGACGUGUAUGCAUAGAACCUCAUACGGCAGUUGUGCGACAACAAUGUAAGUAUUGGGAAGUUGGGCCAAUAUAAUAGUGAGUUUCUUCGGUUUGAUGAAGAAUAUCCCAUUCAGCAAGAGGGCGCUCAUAGUGCUAUGUGGCCAGAUAAGUCGGCCAAGCAGUCAGCACGAUGUCAUCAGGAAAAUAAUGGAGGUUUUUGCCGAACUUGGGCAAAAGACCAAGGUUUGUAUUACAUGGUCCAACCAGAGUCGGAGAGCCGGAUCAGGAACAAGCUGAUAUAUCUACAUGAUCGAGCUGAAUGCAGUACAACUUUUUCAGGGAUGCAAUAGCAGUUGACACAACAUUACCAAACAAACUUUUAUGACAUGUUGUUCAGAUAGUUUGUCGGUGUGAUUCCAAAGAACAAUUUGUUCCGGCAGGGGUGAGAUUCCAAAGAAGCCAAGAAAGGAGGCAAGACAUACGAAAUGGAGUCGGUCAGCACCGGAGUGGCAACCCUAGUGUGGUUCGUUACAAAGUGCCGACGGCGGACGGCAUUUCAGAAGGGAGGCUUAGAUAUAGGCAUCUAGAGUGUUUGUGA